GUGAGGAAUAUUGGACAAUGGGCGCAAGCCUGAUCCAGCCAUGCCGCGUGCAGGAAGACGCAUCUAUGGUGUGUAAACUGCUUUUGUACGGGAAGAAACACUCCCUCGUGAGGGAGCUUGACGGUACCGUAAGAAUAAGGAUCGGCUAACUCCGUGCCAGCAGCCGCGGUAAUAAGGAGGAUCCAAGCGUUAUCCGGAAUCAUUGGGUUUAAAGGGUCCGUAGGCGGUUUAAUAAGUCAGUGGUGAAAGCCCAUCGCUCAACGAUGGAACGGCCAUUGAUACUGUUAGACUUGAAUUACAAGGAAGUAACUAGAAUAUGUAGUGUAGCGGUGAAAUGCUUAGAUAUUACAUGGAAUACCAAUUGCGAAGGCAGGUUACUACUUGUGGAUUGACGCUGAUGGACGAAAGCGUGGGGAGCGAACAGGAUUAGAUACCCGUGUAGUCC
rnacentral:rRNA from 1 species